AACGAACGCUGGCGGCAGGCCUAACACAUGCAAGUCGAGCGAGGACUUCGGUUCUAGCGGCGGACGGGUGAGUAACGCGUGGGAAUGUGCCCUUCUCUACGGAAUAGCCCUGGGAAACUGGGAGUAAUACCGUAUACGCCCUUUUGGGGAAAGAUUUAUCGGAGAAGGAUCAGCCCGCGUUGGAUUAGGUAGUUGGUGGGGUAAUGGCCUACCAAGCCGACGAUCCAUAGCUGGUUUGAGAGGAUGAUCAGCCACACUGGGACUGAGACACGGCCCAGACUCCUACGGGAGGCAGCAGUGGGGAAUCUUAGACAAUGGGGGCAACCCUGAUCUGGCCAUGCCGCGUGAGUGAUGAAGGCCUUAGGGUUGUAAAGCUCUUUCAGCUGGGAAGAUAAUGACGGUACCAGCAGAAGAAGCCCCGGCUAACUCCGUG
rnacentral:rRNA from 1 species